UGAAGGGAGAACUGCGCCUAAAGUGAAUGCCAUGGCAGGCAAUGUGCUGAGGCUUGGGCCAUGUGGAACUGGAGGCAGCCAAGUCAUCAAAGAAGAUAGGACUUCGGCUCAUUCAGAAACCAUGUGAACUACGGCACAAGAGGCCCAGGGCACCGGAACAGCUGGCUGAAUAAACAGCUAAGCCUUUCAAACAUUGAAGUGUGUGCUAUCCCAAGGGGAGUAGUUUGAAGGGGAUUAGAGUUUUAGACCUCAAGGCAAAUAAAUGUAUUUUUUCCUUCCAAA